GACGAACGCUGGCGGCGUGCUUAACACAUGCAAGUCGAGCGAUGAAGUUCCUUCGGGAGUGGAUUAGCGGCGGACGGGUGAGUAACACGUGGGUAACCUACCUCAAAGAGGGGGAUAGCCUCCCGAAAGGGAGAUUAAUACCGCAUAAUAAUCAGUUUUCACAUGGAGAUUGAUUUAAAGGAGUAAUCCGCUUUGAGAUGGACCCGCGGCGCAUUAGCUAGUUGGUAGGGUAACGGCCUACCAAGGCGACGAUGCGUAGCCGACCUGAGAGGGUGAUCGGCCACAUUGGAACUGAGAGACGGUCCAGACUCCUACGGGAGGCAGCAGUGGGGAAUAUUGCACAAUGGGCGAAAGCCUGAUGCAGCAACGCCGCGUGAGUGAAGAAGGUUUUCGGAUUGUAAAGCUCUGUCUUUGGGGACGAUAAUGACGGUACCCAAGGAGGAAGCCACGGCUAACUACGUGCCAGCAGCCGCAGUAAGAC
rnacentral:rRNA from 1 species